rnacentral:rRNA from 1 species
CUAUAAUGCAAGUAGAACGCUGGAAGAGAGGAGCUUGCUCUUCUUGGAUGAGUUGCGAACGGGUGAGUAACGCGUAGGUAACCUGCCUUGUAGCGGGGGAUAACUAUUGGAAACGAUAGCUAAUACCGCAUAACAAUGGAUGACACAUGUCAUUUAUUUGAAAGGGGCAAUUGCUCCACUACAAGAUGGACCUGCGUUGUAUUAGCUAGUAGGUGAGGUAAUGGCUCACCUAGGCGACGAUACAUAGCCGACCUGAGAGGGUGAUCGGCCACACUGGGACUGAGACACGGCCCAGACUCCUACGGGAGGCAGCAGUAGGGAAUCUUCGGCAAUGGGGGCAACCCUGACCGAGCAACGCCGCGUGAGUGAAGAAGGUUUUCGGAUCGUAAAGCUCUGUUGUAAGUCAAGAACGGGUGUGAGAGUGGAAAGUUCACACUGUGACGGUAGCUUACCAGAAAGGGACGGCUAACUACGUGCCAGCAGCCGCGGUAAUACGUAGGUCCCGAGCGUUGUCCGGAUUUAUUGGGCGUAAAGCGAGCGCAGGCGGUUUGAUAAGUCUGAAGUUAAAGGCUGUGGCUCAACCAUAGUUCGCUUUGGAAACUGUCAAACUUGAGUGCAGAAGGGGAGAGUGGAAUUCCAUGUGUAGCGGUGAAAUGCGUAGAUAUAUGGAGGAACACCGGUGGCGAAAGCGGCUCUCUGGUCUGUAACUGACGCUGAGGCUCGAAAGCGUGGGGAGCGAACAGGAUUAGAUACCCUGGUAGUCCACGCCGUAAACGAUGAGUGCUAGGUGUUGGAUCCUUUCCGGGAUUCAGUGCCGCAGCUAACGCAUUAAGCACUCCGCCUGGGGAGUACGACCGCAAGGUUGAAACUCAAAGGAAUUGACGGGGGCCCGCACAAGCGGUGGAGCAUGUGGUUUAAUUCGAAGCAACGCGAAGAACCUUACCAGGUCUUGACAUCCCGAUGCUAUUUCUAGAGAUAGAAAGUUACUUCGGUACAUCGGUGACAGGUGGUGCAUGGUUGUCGUCAGCUCGUGUCGUGAGAUGUUGGGUUAAGUCCCGCAACGAGCGCAACCCCUAUUGUUAGUUGCCAUCAUUCAGUUGGGCACUCUAGCGAGACUGCCGGUAAUAAACCGGAGGAAGGUGGGGAUGACGUCAAAUCAUCAUGCCCCUUAUGACCUGGGCUACACACGUGCUACAAUGGUUGGUACAACGAGUUGCGAGUCGGUGACGGCGAGCUAAUCUCUUAAAGCCAAUCUCAGUUCGGAUUGUAGGCUGCAACUCGCCUACAUGAAGUCGGAAUCGCUAGUAAUCGCGGAUCAGCACGCCGCGGUGAAUACGUUCCCGGGCCUUGUACACACCGCCCGUCACACCACGAGAGUUUGUAACACCCGAAGUCGGUGA